rnacentral:rRNA from 1 species
UACGGGGGGAGCAAGCGUUGUUCGGAUUUACUGGGCGUAAAGGGCGCGUAGGCGGCCACCGCAAGUCGACUGUGAAAUCUCUGGGCGUAACCCAGAAAGGUCAGCCGAUACUGCGGGGCUAGAGUGCAGAAGGGGCAACUGGAAUUCUCGGUGUAGCGGUGAAAUGCGUAGAUAUCGAGAGGAACACCUGCGGCGAAGGCGGGUUGCUGGGCUGACACUGACGCUGAAGCGCGAAAGCUAGGGGAGCGAACGGG